rnacentral:lncRNA from 1 species
GACAAAGAGGCGCGUCGGGUCCCGGGCGCGGGCCGUCUGACGGAGGCGCCCGGGAAGCGCCGCCCACCUCGGCCCCGCACCCUCGCCGGCCUGCCGGGUCUCCGCCAGCCCUAGCAGACAGAGAGGGGCGCCGGUCCCUAGUCCCCCAGACCUCCAUUCAAGGUCAAAACUUUGCCCAGCUCAGCCUUGCUCGACCCUGGGCAGGGAAGCGCGGACAUCGGCAGAGGGAGCCCGAGGCUCUCCGUGCCCUUCGCGCCGGUGUGCUGGUGGAAUCGUCUGCAGUCGAUUUUUCGAGGAAUGUAGGAAAGCACAGAUCAUAGCUGAGACUACUGUGUGGCCAUAUGUUAGCCAAAUUCCCCAAGGAUGGAUAACACUAACAUAUAGUCAGUGGGAAAGAAAUCUCAGAAAAUAACUGUUAGUUUGUCACUGUCAUGGGAAAUGGGAAGGAAGAAAAACAGCACUUAUCAAGCAUCUUCUGUGUACAAACUGCCAUUUCAGACUCAGAGCAGUCCUUGAAGGUCAAGAACUGUGGAAUCUUUCAGAUGAUAUUCUGAUACUUCUGGACCAAGAUUGAAUUUGUUCUUCAUGAAAAAUGUCUGGGACCUUUUAUGUGGACGGGGAAUACCAACGUAGAGAUGGUCAAGAAAAUUUGCGCUCCGACCUAAACCAAGCACGUUGUAUGGUAGUUGGAGAGCUAAAUGUGCGGAUUGGCUGAGUUGGCCAGCUAGAGUUAUUCAAUUAAAAAAAAAUUAAAAACAUCUCUGGAAACAUUGCUCCCAUCAAAUAUUAAAAUGAUAAAAUGUUAAAAAUUUAGGUACUGGAAUGUAUGGGAGGAGCCAAGAUGGCCGAAUAGGAAAAGCUCCGGUCUACAGCUCCCAGCGUGAGCAACGCAGAAGACG